rnacentral:rRNA from 1 species
UACGUAGGGUGCAAGCGUUAAUCGGAAUUACUGGGCGUAAAGCGUGCGCAGGCGGUUAUAUAAGACAGUUGUGAAAUCCCCGGGCUCAACCUGGGAACUGCAUCUGUGACUGUAUAGCUAGAGUACGGUAGAGGGGGAUGGAAUUCCGCGUGUAGCAGUGAAAUGCGUAGAUAUGCGGAGGAACACCGAUGGCGAAGGCAAUCCCCUGGACCCUGUACUGACGCUCAUGCACGAAAGCGUGGGGAGCAAACAGG